GGAGACAACCAUAUCUAGUUGUCCUUUCCCCAAGGAGUUUAUUCUUCCAAUAGUUGCCUGGGAGGUGUUAAAUGUCUAUUGUCAUUAAUAAUAUAUAAAAUAGUGAUGUUUUCAUCUAGGAAAUCCCAAGAUAUGGGGAAGUGAAGAGAAACUGAGGUCACCUGUGUACACACUGAGAAGACAUUGGUGUGUCAUCAUUAGCCACCAGGAGUUAUAUCUGCCUAAAAAUGGAUUCUGAGCUUAUAAGAAUAGAGAGAAUUUUGUAGUUAAUAAAUGAAACCUGUGAUUGAGACUUUCCCAGAGCACAGCCCAGAAGAGCAGGCAACUCACCCCUGCCAUGCCUAGGCCACAGACGAGAGACACUGCCUCCUACCACAAUCCUCUGGCCUCUUCUAAGUUAGCAUCGUCAGAGUUCUCUAGAGAAAAGGGACCUGCUAGAGAACAGAAACUGAGUUCGGUGAUAAGAAGACAAUAGCAGUUGGGCAGAGACCUCACUACUCUAGGGAGAGGAAUGGUGAGGAUGGUCAAGGAAGGACCAAGCAUGCAUGAGACCAGAAACCAGCCACCUGGGCCAUGGCAGUUUCGCUGGAGUGAUUACUGUUACAUGAAUGAUGAGGUUGGGUGGUUUGGGACUGCCAAAUGGUAAAACUAUAAUUUUGAUUCUGCCACAGCCUUCUGUGAUAUCUGGAGCCAUGAAAUUAACCAUAAGGCUCCUUGGUCCCGAGAAGGUGGCCGGCUGCAGAAAAGGGAAAUCCUUGAGAUGCUGCUGCUGCUGUGAGAAUCACCUUUCGUAGUGAUUGGCAGAUCUCAGCUACCGUUCUGUGGUCAGCUGUUACCUGUAACAGCACGCAAGUGUAUUGAUACACAGGGAUGGCAGGACCAAGCUAGCCAAGCAUGAACAAUCAUCACUCUCUGCAAAUACAACAUGACUCACUACCUCAAGCUUCUGCACCAGGACUUCCUCUCCAUGAUGGACUAUACCCUCCCUGAGCCAAAAUAAACACUUUCUCCCCGAA